UACGUAUGGUGCAAGCGUUAUCCGGAUUUACUGGGUGUAAAGGGAGCGCAGGCGGCACGGCAAGCCUGAUGUGAAAGCCCGCGGCCCAACCGCGGGACUGCAUUGGGAACUACCGGGCCGGAGUGUCGGAGAGGCAGGCGGAAUUCCUAGUGUAGCGGUGAAAUGCGUAGAUAUUAGGAGGAACACCAGUGGCGAAGGCGGCCUGCUGGACGAUGACUGACGUUGAGGCUCGAAAGCGUGGGGAGCAAACAGG
rnacentral:rRNA from 1 species